rnacentral:lncRNA from 1 species
GUCAUGCUGAGCAUGGUCCAGCACCGUCAUCUAUCAGAGCACUGUGCUGUGCCUGCCUUAAAAGCAGAUCCCUGUAAAGUAGGACAAGUAACUGAAGCUUUGUAAUCGUUCAGUAUGGGGCCUCAACUCUCAUCUUAACUCGAUGGGAUGUGCUUGGGAGAGGCGAGAAGUGCUUGUAGGAACAAUAAAUCAUGAGAGAGGCAUUCUACAGAGUUUAUUUUAGCUUUUGCUCCUGACAAGAGAGUGGCAUGCCACACUCAGAGUUCAACGGGUCCUCCGAGCAGAAGUUCUUCUGUCCUUCAAAAGAUUUCUCUACUAGUGAGGUACGAUUCAAGUGUGACUGGACAAAAAAUAGAAGAAGAGGGGGCCGAUUCCCUGGAACUAGUUACUGGUGAUUGUGAGCAGCCCACGGAUGCUGAAAAACAAACUCAUGUCCUCUGGAAGAGCAGCGAGUGCAUCUAACCACUGAGCUAUCUCUCUAGACCCUUAAAUAAAAAUCUAAAACUCAAGGGGUAAAGCAGACAGAUAACAUUACGUGGUUGUGAAAACAGCAAGCAGAAGCACAGUGCAACGAAGUGUGGUAGAGAGCAAGGCAGGGAAACAGGUUUAAGAAUACAGAGGCAUCACUUCAGUAUACCUCCAUGAAGAUAUGGGGCCCACACAGUUACAAAAGCUCAAACUGGAAGUGACGUGGUGAUGGGAUUAGAACGAAAGAAGAGAGGCUAUAGAGAUGGUUCCAAAGUGUUGGAUUAAUUGUUAACGGUACUCAAACUGCCCCUCCGCUGGCAGCACACGUUCCUCCACCGCCACCCGCCAAAAUGCUCUGAAUUCUCAAAUGAAAGACAUACACAUGCAGCCUUAUUUUUAGUAUCUCCUAAGCAGCUCAAUGACUGGGCCACUCCCAAACUUCCACGUUGUUAAUGCCUCCCCUCCAAUACUCUUGAAUUAUUACUUACUAAAAUCUAUAUUCCAUCUUUGCUACCCCAGACCCAAUCUGGGGAGGGGACCCUGGGGCUGCUCUUCCUGAGCUCUUACAUGGCUCUAUGCUUUCUCUUAUCAGCUCUCAAACCACGUCCUCCUGCUUUCCCUGGCAGGGCAAGAUGGCGAUUCUCCUUCCCGAGAUUCCCUUGCCCGGAACAUCUAAAGUCCCGCCUCUGUCUCUCUGUCAUUGGCUGCCGGCAAAUUUAUUUACCAAUUAGAGCCAACUGGGGGCAGUGACCCGUGGCAUCUCAUGUACAGAUGGGCAAACCCACAACACCAAGGAGCACAUGAGGAGAACCUGACAGGGAAUGCAAAAGUUCCAAGGAGGUCACGAGCUAACAAGAACGGAAGCAAGGGGCCUCUCCUUCAAAGACAGAUGAUCGGCCAGCAGAGAUGAAAGUGAGCAUGGAGACUGGACUGGCUGAGGCAUAUUUUGGAGGUGAUUUUAUAGGAAUUGCCGUUAGGCUAGGGUCUAUGGGUACAGACAAGGUAAAGAACUGGUGACGACCUCUAAGGACUUGGUGGAAUCCUGUUCUGAGCUAUAGAGACAGGGGAGGCACGCUAGUAGCAGGAAAACUGUCCUGCACAUGUAAAGUGUGACAUUCAAGAGAAUGGCAAGUUGACCGUUGGAGACGUAAAUGUCAAGAGCAGAGAUCCGGGGGAUGAAAAUGUUACUAUAGAAAGCCUCGGCAUAUAGCACAGCUACUGUCUUUAAGGCAUGGAACAUGCACGUUUUCCUCUGUAAAGGAUACAGAGAAAAAAAGACGAGGCUCAAAAUACAUACUGUUGAAGGCAGGAAAGAAAGCCAUCAAGAAGAUCCAAGAAUGGUCCGAGAUAUGGAUUUAAAAUGGUUUACUGAAAGUGUGGUCUAGCGACUCAGAGAUGAGAAAGGAACUGCUGAUUAAAGAAAAGGGAGAUUGGAAAAUACAGAAGAAAGAAGUAGUUCAGCGGGGAAGACUAGUGGUGGGUGGAGUCACGGAAGCAAGAGAGGCAGGAAGCUGAGAGCUUUUCCUCCAAAGAAGCUGUGCUUUCCUGGAUUGUAAGGCCUGUUUGAGAGGUCCAGGGUGUCUGCCCCUGUAAGCCAGCUGAUCUCCGAGGGCUUGAAGAUCAUGGCUGGGCUUUUUCCCUCUGCUGUUUUGGAGGCUGAAUGUUGAAGGUCUUCCAGCCCUCUUUGCUUGGCACUUUUCUUCUGCUUGGUUAUUCUAGCAGUGGCGAUUCACGCUCCAUUUUCCACUUCAUUAGCUUGGGUUUUCACUCCCAACAUUUCCAUCUCCCCCCACCCCCACCCCUACCCACCCAAGAUCUCAGUUCUUUGCUGACAUUUCCCUCAACGCUGCUCUCCUGCUGUGCUGUGUUGCUGACCGCCCCUCUUCCUUACCUCACUCGCGGACUUGUUGACUGCUGCCGCUUAUUUUUAGGAGUGGCAUUUGAACUCUGCCAUUUCAACUAUCUCAGGAUUUUGGAUUCAGUACUUGAAGAGUCAUGAGCUCUUGGAAGCCGCAUCGUUCCUGGCUGUGAGCACUGUACUUUUGUUAUCUGUUCGGGAUUUUAUUGGCCAUCUUCUAAGAAAGCAGUAAGCUCUGGAGGACUCUGUCCUCAGUGCCGCUCCAAUAAGAGGAAGAACAAUCACAGUAUAGCAACAGAUAGAAUGAGAUAUAAAAAUAGACAAAAUAAAUUAAAGAUAAUGAAUGCCCCUCCAAUGACUAUAGAACAAUCACAACAGCAGAAAGAAAAACGAAAAAAAGAAACAGCUGUAGAAUGUUGUGAUGGCUAUUCUUGCCAGCUUGAUUACAUCUAGAACUAACUAAAACCCAAACAGCUGGGUACACCUGUGUGGGAUUUUUCUCUUAUUUAAAUCAUUUGGAACAGAAGGAAAAAUGUAUAAGAUUCUCUUUUCAUGUGGAUCUUUUGAGGGAAGAAAUCCACCUCUGACUGUUGGCUCUCAAUCUCUCAGUCAUACCUAUUCCUCCACUUGCAUUAGAGCCAACCUCUUCAGGAGUCCAAUGUAGACCCAAGGCCUGCUGAGACAUCCAGCUUUGUGGACUAAGUAACAACUGGAUUCUUGGAUUUUUCAUUGUUAGACAGCCAUUGUUGGACUAGCAGCAUCAUAGCCUGUAAGCUACUUUAAUAAGUCACACACACACACACACACACACACACAUAUAUGUACAUUCACAUAUAUAUUUAUUCUAUAAAUUCUAUUCCAGAGAAUCAUGACUAAG